AAAUAUAUCAUUCAUAAUUUUAGCUAUGUCAGCCUUCAGAACCAUGAACCAAACAAACUACUUUAUAAUUCAGCAAGCCUCCGUGAGUCUGUUACAGUAGCACAAAUCACAGUAAGACAGUAGGUAGACAACACCUGGCUUCCUUCAUCAGCCUCAUGAUCACAGUACAGUCAAGGCUUUGAGUCAAUAAAGAACAGGAAUUAGCUUCUGCUUCUGCUGACUAUCAGAGUGAUUCUUCUUUAAACGAGUCUUAAUUAUGCCAGAGAAAUUUAGUGUUUAAUAGACACAACUCACUUGCUGAUCUGAAACUUUUAUUAUAUGAGUUUACAAACGGUUUUAAGCCAAGUUGACUUUACGUGCUGCAAGCUCAAUUUGAAUAUGCAGUGUUGAUUUUUGAGACAACAAGCCCUACAUCUCUCUCAAAUGGUGGUUAGCUCAUUGUCACUGCCAGCAUGUGAAAUGGCUUGCCCUAAAGAAAAGCACUAUCUUCUAGGAUACCUGUAGCCUCUGCCUUGCUAAACUUAAUUUCUCCUUAUGUUCAAUAUUUAAUUCAAACUGAUUAUCUACAUAGAGGACACAAAAACAUGGCAAUCUUGUAAUCAACAUUUUCAAGUUUAGAAGCCUUUCUUCUCUCCCCUCCCCUCUUCCUCUCCCUUCCUCCUUCUCUUGCCAUUCCUCUUCUUGUGAUGCUCUCCCUGUGUAGCCAAAGCUGACCUCUAACUUGGUUUUAUCCUCCUUGAACUCGUGAUACUAACCUUGCCUCUGAUUGUAGGUGUGUACCCCAUGCCCAGCUAAAGCCAUAAUUCGUGAAAGCAGACUAUGCACCAAGCACUGAAGUCUGUGUUUUGUAGUCACUAUUUUUAAUUCUGGUGACAUAUUGAUACAGUACAUGUACUUUAUUCUUUUUUACUUUGUUUUUGGAUAAUAAAUCUGAGAUACAUAGAAGUUAAACACCAAUCAUAAGGUCAUGUUGCAAACUGUCAAACAUGGAAACAAACAUAUAUCCUUCUAAAACCUGAAAAAUUUUUAUUUUUCCUAAAAUUUUAUAUCAUAUUGUAUAAGUGACCCAUGUGUGUUAAUGCUAUUUAAUUCAUAAUAUUAUUACAUUAUGCUACUGUAAGGUUAUCUGUCUUUCAUCUGUCUGUCUAUUUAUCUGUGUUUAUCAUCUAUCUAUCGUCUAUCUAUCUAUCUACCAUCUAUCUGUCUACCUAUCAUCUAGAUCUCCCUAUAUAAUCUGUCUUUUAUCUAUCAUCUGUAUAUUUAUUCAUCAUUAACCUAAUUGAGACAUAAUUUUGUUUCCUUUUUAACCCAGGGUGCCAUGUAGCUCAGACUAUAGCCUGAAAUUGAAUUCAUUUUGAAGUCAAGCAUGAUUUUCAAUUUCUGCUUCUUCUGUCUCUACCUCUCAAGAGCUGGAUUGGCAGCUGGAGGAAGCCAGACACCUGAGACCUCUUUAGACAACAGGAGACAUUGCUCCUUCCUUUCCUGUUGUGAUUUAAGAACAUUUCUGAAGCGAGCCCUCCAUGAAUGUGAAGGCAGUGGUAAGGAAAUGGAAGCAACAGCAAUGGAAACAAGAUGACUCUCAGAAGGAAGGACCCAACGAUUUGCCAACCCAACGUUCAGAAAACCAGAUGGUGCCUGACCAUGGCCAUCUUCCAAAGGGAAAAACAGUAGGAACCAGUGAAUGGAAACAGGUUAUCCAGGAUUUGUGUCCAUACAGCCUCUAGACAAAUGUAGAAGCAAACACAGGGCAGCUCAUCAUCUGUGGAAUUAAUGCUUUAUCUUCAUAGAUAUCUACUCCUUUAAGAAGAUUUUCUUUUGUUAUUUAGUUGUUUGGUUUUUUUUUGUUUUUGUUUUUGUUUUUGUUUUUUUCUUUUUUAAUUUGAGGAAAAAAUAACAGUGUUUCUCUUUUGAAAUAAUGAAAAGGACAGGAAGUUUAAAGAGAAACUAAAUGACAUCCAAUAUUCCCUAAUACCCUCUUGUUGCUUUAGGUGAUUGGUAUGCUUAAUUAAGGAGGGUCCUGGGUCUAUCAUCCAUCCACCAGGGCUUGACCUGAAGGUGGGAAGGAGCCGGGUGUAACCUGACCCAGCCCAGGUGUGUGCCUGCAGGUCAGAGACUGAGAAAACAUGUGGCCUCUUGUAAGCCUCUCCCUCAGCCUGUACAGGACUUCAAGUAUUUUGGUUGUUUCUUAGAUGUCUGCAUUCUGCCAUGUUUAAGAGAUGUCAGCACGCAUUCCUCUAGAUUCAGAUUUUCAAGAUGGGAAAGGAAGUGCGUGAGGUUAAGACACUUGCUUAAGGCCAUGGAGUCAAAGAGGGCGAAGGAGAGAAUCCAUUCAACUGUUCUCCAGUUACAGCUCCGCGAUGUCACUAACCAGGGUCAUGUGUCAGGGGACUCUCACAAACACUAGCAGUAACUAGAAUACUUUACAGAGAUUAAAACUUAGUCUUCCUUUACAAUAUUGCCUCAUUUAUUAUGCCCUUCUCCCUUCCCCGGCUUCUUCCCAGCCCCCACUUCUUCACAGGUAAAACAAAUUUGACUUUAUACUCUAUCUUGGUUCCUGUGUAUUCUAAGUGACAUUUGUCCAUAUUUGUUUCCUAUCCCAGGGAGAGGUGACAGACAAAAAAAUUGGUUAAAUGGAGAGAUGCUAAACCCCUCUCAACAUACAACAUUAGUGAAAAGCUAGUGUCUUCCCUACAAGGGCAUAGUUAGCAAUCCACGAGUGAUACAAAUAUUACACACACACACACACACACACACACACACACACACACACACACACACACUUUACAGACUAGUCACUUUUAAAUAAAUUAUUUGCAUUAUGAACAUUCAAAUAAUACAUAAGCACUUGUGCUUUCUUGGCCUGUGAUUGUGUUUGUAAGUCAGAUUUUUGUUCUGUUCUGUUUUGAUUUGGUUUGGUUUGGUUUUUUAUGGCUGAUAUUGAAUACUGUUCUGUUGCUGUGUUGAUGGGUUGAUGGGUUGAUGGUGGUGUGCUGGUGAUGAGACCCAAAACUCUUUCAUGCUUUAGAGCCUUCGAAUACUUAGCUAGACCUCGAGCCCUAAAGAUUGUCUUUAAUAUAAAUUCUAAUAGCAAACUCUUUUAUCCUAAAGUGCUGAGCCUUGCCUUUGACAUACAUUUGAACAGCCCCAAUGCUGCUGAGAUAGACACACCCAUUCUCCAAAACCCUCUUGAACCCUAAUGGGUAAUCUUAUGCUAGGAGUCUUAGAAAAAACUGUGACUAGCUCUUGCUUGUCCUUCCUAGAAGGUUUAGUAGAAUGUCCAGGGACAUUUGGGACAUCAAGCUUAGACUGAAAUCUACUUAUUAUAAGUGAAAUGAGGUGCCAAUGAGCCCUAGAGAAUCUUAAUUCAUAUAAAAAUGAGACUAAAAAUGGAUGCUUAAGGCUGGAGAGAUAACCAGCGUUUCAGAACCCUUGGUGAUUCAGACAAAGACUGGAGUUAGUUCCCAGCACCACAUGGUAGCUCACAACCAUUCGUAACUCCAUUUUAGGGGGAUAUGACUCCAUCUUCUAGUUUCCUGUGCUAUGUAUGUGAACUGCACAUGUAUGGUACACAGACUUGUGUGUAGGCAAAACGUCUACACAAAUAAAAUAAAAACAAAUAAGUUAGAAAUUACAGAUACAUAGCAACCAAAUAUGUCAGCAGCUUCUAAUCCUAAGAUUACAGUGGUGUUCAGCACCCUUCGUAAUUCACUCUGCUCUCUGGAGAGGUGACCAUUAUUACCAAUGUCUAUUACAGUUUUAAAGUCUCUGGCUCCUAGAUUCUUACUAUAAGGCUACCUCUCUCUAUUUAUUUGGCAAUGUGAAAUUUACCAAUUGAAAUUCAUUAGGAUAAGGAAGGAUCUUAUCUGCGCCCUAGUUGUGGUCUUUAUGCAAUUCCACUUAACAUUGAUAAGCCUUCAUCUUUUAGUUAAUCCCCUCCCCCACCUUCUUUCUAUUUCUCUACUUCCAUCACAACUAUAACCAUUACUGUCAUGUUAUGAAGAAGUAUAAUUUGGUUCUGUUGUGUUUAAAAUCAACAGAUCUUCAGUUUUCUUUAGUUAUUUUAUUUUUUUUUUUGCUCAUAGACUAACUGGUUGACACAAAUGCACACAUUUCAUGAAAUAAAUUAAUUGCUUUGAUUUGAAUGUGAACCUUGCCUUCGAAGACUUAUGUGUUAUAAGAAAAACAUAGACUUAUGUGUUCCCAAAAUAAAAAGAAAAACAAAUAAAGGUGCAGCUGGCUGGUAGUGUACAGUAUGCCUUUAACUUGAGCACACAGGAGACAGAGGCAGGGAGAAGUCUGUGAGUUUGAAGCCAGACAGGUCUACAGAGCAAGUUCUAGAGAAGCGAGGUUUACAAAGAGAGACCCUGUCCCUGUCUCAACAUCCCCCCUCCUCCCAGGUGAGAGAUAAAAGGAUUUCUGAGAAAUGAAAGUAGUGGAGGUCCUUAGGUCAUCAGGGCCACAUCCAUAGAGGGGAAGGCAGGAUCUUCCCUUCCUUGCUGCCUCUUUUCCUUCUGGCCAUGGAUGAGCUCUACCAUGUCAUCCUAUCAGUUAUGCUACUCCAACAAAACACAAACAAAUGUGGCUAACUCCUCCAAAACCAGGGUCUACUGUACUGCGAGCCAAUGAGAAACUCUUCUCCUUAUAAUUUACCUUGAAUAUUUUAUAUAAUUUGCCUCAUUACUAAUAUACUACACUAUACUAUAGUAAAUAUAAUAUAUACACAUUUGUGAUAUAAUAUAUAAUAUAAAUUACUUAUAUAAUUUACCUUAUAACUACCUCAAAUAUCUGUUUCUACAACAGUAGUCUAACAAUAAAUUUGCUCUAAUGGAAAAUGUGCUCAAGUAUAUAAUAUAGUCACAUUUUUAAUCAAAGCAUUUUUCCAAUUUUAUCCAUAAUGCUGUUUCUGUUUAGAGUUGUACAUGAAAUCAUCGAUGGCUAUUUUCAGAGUCAUCAUUGGCUCUAACACACGCACACAUGUGUGCACGUUCACACACACACACACACACACACACACACACACACACACACACACUGUGUGUACAUGCACCUAGCAUUGUAAUUGUAUCUAAGAUUGUAAACAACAAUGAAUAGUUUGAUUCCCUGAGGGAAAGAAAAUCCCUUGCUUCUUCUUAUAACCAUUCACUCUGUUGCAUUUUAAUAUUAACUUCUUAAUAUUUAUUUAGAGUAACUUUCAAUGCUGGUAGCAGUGACAAGUCUCUCCCAUAUUUCUUUGCCUUUAUAUUUUGUAAGAUAGGGUUUUCUUCCAUCUACUUCUUUUUGUGUUUGUGGGGUUUAAUUCUUUGUUAUUGCCUUUCUUUUUCUCCACACCUGAAGAGUACCCGACUUUCUAAUAAUAGUCACCUCCCCUUAUUGAAAAACGAAGUAUGCUAGGUUAACAUAGAAGGUUUGUGCAUAGAGUCAUGAGGUUGGUUGGUAGGCUUUGAUUUAAGUCUAUAGUCAAAACCUUCUAAAUGAGAACUUACCUCUAUACUUACAACCUUUUACCAGCUCUCCAAUUUUCCCUACAUAGAUCUUUCUCUUUAGUUAUUUAUAUCUAUCACAUCUAUAUGUACAUACAUACAAUAUAUAUAUAUUUAUUACAUAACUUAUUUUUAUAUAUCAAGACAGCAUAAUCCACUGAUACACAGUGUUCUACUUUUAGACAUUAGCAGACAUAUUCCAUACCCCUUUGUCAAUGGCAACCUUUAAAUAUGUAUUGGAUUCUACCUAGGGUAUGUAGCUAUACAGAGCUUAUAAUUAAAUAUUUUGUGCAGGAAGUAAGAGAGUUAAGAGAUGUGUUAACAUACCUGAGAUAAACUCCAUGUUGUCUGCAUGGUACCUGCUGACUGGAGCAAGGGCUGACUGCUAUAAUCAGUUACCUCCUUUUCCUGGGCCUCUUUUCUUCCUCAUGUUCUAAUGCAGAGUCUCUCUGCUGCUCCAGGGAAGAAGUCCUCUAUCAUUUUCUGGGCUGUGUCUUCCCAGUUGGCUUCAUAAUUCUGGAGGCUCCUAGACAGAUUCUGUUUUUCCAAAUAAAGAAAAAAAUAUCCCUGGUUCUCUGGUGGCCUCGGUUUUGGAGAGUUAUGUCUAUUUUUAUUCCUUAGUGUUAUGUAUUUGGUAUCUGGGGAUUCAAGAUGAUUAUGCCUGGGAUCAAUAAGUUACCCUGAACUAGAAUUAAAAUUUAAUUUUAAAAGACCUCCCACAUGACUUUGAUUAUUUGACAGUUAUCAAAGUUUUUAAGAAUAAAAAUGUAUGAAGUGCUCCCCAGGAAUAAAGGAAAGUACACCAAAUCCCAGUGCUUACAAAGCUCAGUUUUAUUAUCCACCAAUCACUAAGCAGUUUACUUACCUUCUAGCAAAAAUGUUUGUGCUAUUGUAUUUUCUGGAAAAAAUUAGUGAAGGAAUGAUUACUAAUUUUCAGGAAGUAUUCUCAAGAAUUUUAUUUUAAACACCACACAAACAUAUAAUUCAACACUCUUUUCUCAUUCCCCACAGAUCUUAAUAGUAAUUUCUUUGAGUUUAUCCGAUUUGUGGUUCUGCUUCUCCCACUGUGGUGUCCAGCAGCUCUGGUACACUGCUCAGGGAGGACAGGGUGGGGUCCAGAACAGGUGGGGUCUGAGGUCUACCUCUUCUCUCCAGGGAGUCAGAUAACUCUGUAUGCUAGGCCCAGGAAGUUGAAAUGGAGUCCAGGGCAGGCAGGAUCCCAGAACUAUUGGGAGUGAGUUUUUUUUUUUUUUUUGAAGGGGUGGUUUCCAAGGAUCUUAGUGUUAUGUCACAGCCCUUUUAGAUGAAGAACUUCUUUGACAAUCUUUAAUGAAGCAGCUUUCUGAGAUGAUCUUAGCUUGUUCGUAUUUCUUUAUUGGGGAUGAGUUUGAAUGCAUAUACUUGAUUUGGGCUGAACAAAGGGUUAUAUACCUUUGGGGAAGGGCAUGAGAAUAUCCAGGGAGAGAAAGGUCUUUGGCCGAAGGCUACUGAAAUGUCUCAUUUGCAUGGAGAAUUCCAGAAACUAUGCUACCCAACUGACCUGUUGGGGAGUUGUGACUACCUCCUUAGGAGUUUCCAGGUUAUAUGCUUUGAGGUUUCAUUGAAACAGGAAGGGCGUUAGGCCUAUUCCUGUCAGGUGUCAGGAUAAGAUACUAAUUUCAAUGGAUGGAACCAGAAAAUAUCCUGAGUGAGGUAACCCAGACCCUAAAAGGACAUACAUAGUAUGUACUCACUGAUAAGUGGAUAUUAGUCCAAAAGCUCAGAAUUCCCACGAUAUAACUCAAAAAAAGUAUGAUGCUUAAUAAGAAGGAUGGCCACAUUAUGGAUGCUUCAAUCCCACUUAAAAGGGUGAACAAAAUAAUCACAGGAGGAGAGAGACAUCUGGGUGGAAAAAGGGGGUGCAGGACCAGGUAUGGGAAGAGACAGGAGAGAAGUCCAGACGGCCAGGAGAAUGAAUAGAAAUAAGUAGCAGAGGGGGAUGGGGAACUGGGUAGCCACUAGAAAGUUCCAGAAGACAGAGGCCACAGGUAGGCCAUCCAGGAACUGCCUCAUAUUGCAAUCCAUUCCAUCUGCAGACAACAAACCCCAACACUAUUUCCGAUUCCAAGAUGUGUUUACAGACUGGAGCCUGGUAUAACUGUUCUCUGAGAGACUCUGUCAUCACCUGACUAAGACAGAUGGAGAUACUCACAGACAACCAUUGGACUGAGCCUGGGGACCCCAUUUGAAGAGUUAGAGUAAGGACUGAAGGAGCUUAAGGGGAUUGCAACUCCAAAGGAAGAAAAACAGUAUCAAUUAAGUUCCUCAGAACUCCCAGGAACCAUACGGCCAACCGAAGUGUAUACAGCAGCAGGUCCAUGCUUCCAGCUACAUAUGUAGCAGAGGACUGCCUUAUCUGGCAUCAGUGGGAGGGGAGGUGCCUGGUCCUGUGGAGGCUUGAUGCCCCAGAGAAGGCAGGGUGCUAGAGGGGUGAGGCAAGAGUGGGUGGAAAGCCCUCUUAGAGGCAAAGAGGAGGGGAAUGGGUGGAAGGGUUCGUGGAGGGGAGACUGGGGAAGGAAAUACUAUUUGAAAUGCAAACAAAUGAUUAAUAGUAAAAAAAAGAAAUAAAAAAGAAAAAAAUGCUAACCCCAAACAAAGACAUGGCCAAACACCUCUUUGGUUGUAACAGUUUUAGCUGUCUGGGUGCCAUAUGCCAUGCCCUUUGACAUUUAUCUACAGACGUCUAGAGUGUGA